AUGCACGCUGGCGGCGUGCCUAAUACAUGCCAGUCGAGCGAACAGACGAGGAGCUUGCUCCUCUGACGUUAGCGGCGGACGGGUGAGUAACACGUGGAUAACCUACCUAUAAGACUGGGAUAACUUCGGGAAACCGGAGCUAAUACCGGAUAAUAUAUUGAACCGCAUGGUUCAAUAGUGAAAGACGGUUUUGCUGUCACUUAUAGAUGGAUCCGCGCCGCAUUAGCUAGUUGGUAAGGUAACGGCUUACCAAGGCAACGAUGCGUAGCCGACCUGAGAGGGUGAUCGGCCACACUGGAACUGAGACACGGUCCAGACUCCUACGGGAGGCAGCAGUAGGGAAUCUUCCGCAAUAGGCGAAAGCCUGACGGAGCAACGCCGCGUGAGUGAUGAAGGUCUUCGGAUCGUAAAACUCUGUUAUUAGGGAAGAACAAAUGUGUAAGUAACUAUGCACGUCUUGACGGUACCUAAUCAGAAAGCCACGGCUAACUACGUG
rnacentral:rRNA from 1 species